rnacentral:rRNA from 1 species
AAACCAGCACCUCAAGUGGUCAGGAUGAUUAUUGGGCCUAAAGCAUCCGUAGCCGGCGCUGUAAGUUUUCGGUUAAAUCUGUACGCUCAACGUACAGGCUGCCGGAAAUACUGCAAGGCUAGGGAGUGGGAGAGGUAGACGGUACUCGGGAGGAAGGGGUAAAAUCCUUUGAUCUUUCGAUGACCACCUGUGGCGAAGGCGGUCUACCAGAACACGUCCGACGGUGAGGGAUGAAAGCUGGGGGAGCAAACCGGAUUAGAUACCCGAGUAGUCC